GACAGUGAGAGAGAGAGAGAGACAGAGAGAAAGGUCUUCCUUCCAUUGGUUCAACCCCCAAUGGCUGCUGCAGCUGGCGCUGAUCCGAAGCCAGGAGCCAAGUGCUUUUUCCUGGUCUCCCAUGCAGGUGCAGGGCCCAAGCACUUGGGCCAUCCUCCACUGCACUCCCGGUCCACAGCAGAGAGCUGCACAGGAAGAGGAGUGACCAGGACAGAAUCCGGCGCCCUGACCGGGACUAGAACCUGGAGCGCCGGCGCAGCAGGCAGAGGAUUAGCCUAUUGAGCCGUGGCACCAGCCCAGGUUCGUCAAUGGAUGAAUGGAAAAAAACAGUAUGUAAUGUGUGUAUGCAUACACACAAUGGAAUAUUGUUCAGCCUUUAAAGUGAAGGAAAUUCUGACACAAGCUACAACAUGGAUGAACCUUGAGGACAUGAUGCUAAGAGAAACUUGCCUCUGUGGCCAUUCCCCGUGGAUGGAAUCAUAUAAUACGUGGUCUUUUGUAACUGGCUUCCCGUUUUCAAGUUCUCCGGGUUGCAGCAUGUAUCAGCACUUCCCUGCCUUUGUUGGUGGCGAAGUUCUCAGUCUCUUUCCCGCACGUUAAACAUCCCGUGCUGGCUGAUGCGUCCAUUCGCUCUGGUCCGCGGUGUGUGCCUGGAUCCCGUCCUUGCUCUCUCCUGCUCGUCCCUGCACAGGUUUUCUCUCUCCUUUGCCCUCUUGCAGGCAAGGCUGCCCCACACUGCAGCUCUAAGCACAUCUUCAGCAGCUGCUUCCUGGGGCACCUCCCCUUAGCAGUGACAGCAUCUCGUGUUGCUGUCUUUUAUGGCUUCCCAGACUUUGUAUUUUGCACCCGUGUGCUCUCCAAAUGUUCUUUAAAGAACUUUGUAGAACUGGCCUUGGAGUGGAAGCUUCAAAUGCUAUCUAAAGAAGACAUGAACCAGCCGAAGGAAAAAAACAAAGUAGAGGGAAUGAAAAAAAUCAAGAAUGACAGCCAGAAAAUUUUCACGAAAGUUGGGACAGACUCUGCUUGUUCCUUGUUCUUACGCCUGAUGGAUUGAACAUUUCCCACGAGGGCUUGGGACCGUCUAGGAGUUGGCGAUACGGUGGAUUUUUCCAAGCGAACUCGUCUCGGCUUUAUUCUCACUUCCUUUCUUCUGGGUUUGGUCCUUGCAAAGCAGCCUCCCCCCCCCCCAUAAGUUAUAAAUGACUUAUCAAGCAUUAGCGUUUAGAGAACAGACGGCUCCAUAAAUACCUACUUGGCCUCAUUAAAAAGCUACAGUGAUUAAAGAGAAUGAUUAGUGUGGUGCCAGAGGGGGAAGGAAGAAAAUCCAACAUCUGACUGCACAGCGGCCAGAGCCCUUCUCGGGGAAGACCGCUGGUGUCACGGAAGAGGACCCGGCCCGCGCGCGCGCCCGGCCGGCAGGUCGGCGUCUGCAGCCUGCACACCCGGGCCUGUCACCGAAAGACUUAUGCAAAGUGCACGCCUUCUCAGAGACCAUUACCCUCUUGCCCUCCACGCCUCCUUCCCAGCCUCCCCUUCCACUCCCUGUUGCCCCCCUGGAACUUCAAGCAUGAUUAAAACAGGGAAACCUAUAACCGCUACGAAAUGACCCUCCAAUGACUGCUUAAUUACAGCGAAAUGGAAGCCGGGGGGCUACAAAUAACCAGGAACUGUCCCGGCUGUCACUGAAGAGGAGCCUGCCCAUGAGUCAUGAGUCAUGAAUUAGCCACUAAGUGUUUCUUUCGCUUGCAGCCCGAGCGGCCCCCGCCUGGGCCCCCAGCGCCAGGCCCCGCGGCGCGCACCGCCCGGGCCGGGGCCGAACCGGGCGUCUGCUGCGGUUCCCAGGGCUGCGGGGCGCGGCGGGCGCGCUCCCCCGGCGCCCCCGGGCGCUCGCUGGGUCGCGGGGCCGGGGAAGUCUCCCAGGCCGCGCCGGAGACAGGCUGACUGAAGGGGCGCAGCCAGCGCGGCUGCAGAUAAGUUAAUGUACACAGAGAGGAUGUAAAUUACCACGACCCGCAGCAGCAGGACAUUGGCCAGGGCCCUGUCACGGCGAGGACAAGCGUCGGCGGGCUGCGCGCUCGCUGACGUCCGGCCCGGGAUGGAGCCGCCGGGCGGCCGGGCCGCGGAGGACCGCGUGGAGCCAGGCUUUCCUUGAAAACAGCUGCGUGUCCCUGACACCUCCAAACUAAUGCAUUUUUAAUCAGGGGAAUUAGCUCUGGGCGUCCCAUAGUUUUUGCAAGGCCCCUGCCCUGGCAGCCCCGGCCCCCGCCCCGCCCCCACCGUAGGGUCGGGCGGUCCCGUUCUCCUUCCUUAUCGGAGGCUACCCCCACGCCCUGUAGCCCCAGCCACCUUUAAAAAAAAAAACUCCCUCCCCACCCCCAUCCUCCCGCCAGCCCUCCUCCUCCGCCGGCCUCGCUCCAGGGCAACUUUCGCCCCCGCCCUUCCCUCUGUUUAUACAGUGACAUCACAGCCCCUGGCUCUCCAAGGCUCAGAGAAAACAGAGUUCAAAAAGGCAAACAGGAAAGCCCGCUGGUUGUGGGCACCUGGGGAGCCUCGAUCCCGCAGCGGCCGAGCGGCACGAACGCGCGCGUGCGCGCGCUCUCCCAAGGACGCGCCUCCCCCGCCCUGCCAUGCCAAGGCCUGUCCAGGGGCUGCUCCGGCGGCCGCCCAGCCUGGGGUACACACCUGCAGCCAGCAGCGUAGCGAAUUUAAAGUUUUCCAGUAGCCAUAUAAGAAAAAAAAAAAAGCUUGUAAAACAGGUGAGAUUAAUUUAAUAAUGUUUUAUUUAACCUGAUCUGGCCAGCGUAUUAUUUCAACACGUAAUCAAUAUAAAACGUUACUAACAAGAUGUUUUAUAUUCUUUUUUUCCACACUGUCGUCAAAAUCCGGUAUGUAUUUUACACAUAUGGCACAUCUCAAUUCCAAUGCUAAUUUUUCACUGGAAAUACUUAUUCUGAUUUCAAAAACGUAUUCACAUUCUCUUGUGAAUCCAUACAUACUGAAACGGUUCCCAAAAACUGAAUCUGA